CCUGGGCGAUGUGAGAUGUUACAAAUUACAUCCCGGCCUGGGUCCACCACAUCCUGGGCCCGUUCCACCACCGUAGCACGAUAUUGUCCGUUUUGGGCUUACCAUUCCUUCACGGUUUUAUUUUUGGGAACUCACGAGCAACUUCCCAGUGGGUCACCCAUCUUGGGAGUGCUCUGGCCUCCUUCUCACUUAACUUCAGAGUUCCUACGGAACCCGAAGCCAGUGAGCUCCCAAAAAGCCUCGUGCUAGGUAAGGAUUGGAAUAUACAUUUAAGGAUCACUCUCCUGGACGAUAUGGGAUGUUACAAUAUUUACAUGUUUACUGCGAAAUGUUUGAACUAAAUUUUGAAACUCUAAAUUAAACUUAUGAUUAUAUCUAUCAGACACUUUACCUAUAUACAUUAAGCUAAUACACAAAUUUUUAUACUCUCAUUUCAUAUUAUAAUUUUUUGUUCUUAUGCUCACUUUAAUAUAUUUACUAAAUUCAUUAAUCAUCAUAACAUAAUUUGGAAUACAACAUAUGACUGCUAAGUUUGAACUUAAGUCUACUUCAGUUGUUACUAUUGUUGCUUAUUGGUGAUUAUAUCAUCUAUCAUUAUAUAUGUAUACUAAAGCUUUUGUACCUACUUGUGCUCUGUUAAUCCUGCUAUUCCAAUUAAUAUUGUUCCUAUAUGAAUCUGACUAAAAUGUGAUUUUCUCAAAUGAGUAACUACUUCUUUACUAAUUAAAUUAAGUGUGACUUCUUUAUCAAUACAUCUAACUUCAUGUUGACUGAUUGUGCUUACAAUUCUACUUCUGUUUCAAAUAAACCUAAAUGGUACAAGUUAUACUUAUUUUUCUGUGUUCUCUCAAAACCUCUUCGAAUAAAUUCUUGUGCUUCUUCUUCAUUUGGAUAAAUAUAUUCCGCUCUAACUACUUUUUUUCCUUUUUUCCUAAAGAGUUCCAUUUUCUAUUAUAAAAAAGAUUUAGCUUAGGUCUUCUAUUAUUAUUUGCACUCAAAGUUAAAUUUUCUAAUUUAUCUAGCAAUGAUGGUGGAAGUGAUUAAGAUAUGUUAUGUAAAACUUGGUUUAUUUCUGCUAUUUGUUCUUCAACUUGAUUUAAUUUUUCAGCCAAACUUAAAACUAAUUGAAUAAUCAAAUUAUUUUGCCUAAUGAGAAUAUUACUACUGAAUACUUGUGUUGAAAAAUUUGUUAAACCUACUGGUUCUUUAUCUAACUUACUAAUUUCUUCAAAGCUUGAAUAUAUUUUAUGCUAGUUUUGAGAAUCAGUCAUUAAACUAAUAAUUUAUCUAUUUUAUUAUGCAACUUAUCUACUUGUUCACUUAACUCUUUUUGUACUAAUUAAAUUUUUUGAACUUCUAAUUUUAGUUGCUCAACUAUUUCUAAUGAUCUAAAUUCUACUUACUGCUUACUAUCUGUAAGAUCAACAAGCUCUUUUACUUCUUUUUUGCUAGGAAACCUUUGAAUAUUUUUAUUAUUAUCUUCUAACUGAGAUGUAAUAUAGUCUAAAUUUUGUCUAAUUAUUUUUAUGGAAUUUUUCUGAAAAUGUUCUAACAACUGGUUUAACAAAUGAUUAUGCUUAUUAUUUUCUAAUUUUAUAUUUUUUGUUUGACUAAUAAUAAGAUCUACAAUAAUAUUGGCUUGUGAAUUUUCUUCACUGUGCAAAAUAUGAUUAUGCUUGCUUGAUGGAAAAUAACAAACUAAACUAUUUUGGUCUAAAGUUAUUUUCUUUUUUGAGGUUCACUAAUUUCUAAAUUAAGAUAAUCUAUCAUAAACUAUAGUCUACAUUUCUCUAGAGUUACGGCUAACUGGUUUCUUAUAAACUCUCUUUCUUUUCUCAAGGUCUCUAAAACUUGAUCUGUUAUUCUUUUUGCUUCUAAAACUUUAUGCUGCACUUCUGUAUUAUUAUAUUUACGAAUAAAUGAAGGAUGUUCAAGAUAGCCAAGAUAAAACUUUUGCUUCUUCAAAGUGCUAAUAAUUCUUUUGGAUAUAUAUGCUAAUCUUCUCUUUAUGCUAGUUAUAGUUUGAUGUCUGGGACAAUAAAUACCUGGUAAUUGUGGUUGACAGGGUCUAUAGGGACAAUAAUAUCUGGUAAUUGUGGUUGACAGGGUUUACAGGGACAAUAAUAUCUGUUGUUCAUAUACAAUAAACAAAUAUGAUAUCAGUUGUAUCAAUGACUUCUAUCCUCAAGGUACUUUACUAUUAUAAUUAUAUUAUUAAAAUGCUAAACUUGGCUCUGAUACCAAAUUCGCAAUGCAUGCUCGGUUAAAUAGUCGGAUGACCAUAAUAACAACUAGACAUAGAACCUUGCAAAUAGAACUCAACAUGUUUCAGCAUGACGGCCACUCACAGUACAAGUAUAAGGCCUUAACGGCUGAACUCAGAGGUACAAAGAACUCAGAGGUACCCUGGUUAAUGUCCAGUUAUUUGUAUGGCAAACAUUCAACUAUAACAGGAUGCUCGAACAAAGUAUGAUCGUCAGUUUAGCAGGUUAAUAAUAUAACCACAAUAGUGUUUCCCUAUUUUGGACUAGAAGUCUAAUUAAACAAACACAUUAAAGAAGGAAAAGAAAACUUACUUAAGACUUGGAGAUUGUUUGAAUAUGUACACUUGAACUUUUAUUGAUAUAUGGACUGUUUACAGAGAUAGUUGUUUACAAGAAAGUGAUUACAAAGAAGUGUUUACAAGGAUGCUAUUAAGGCUACGAAUGCUUGAGUGUAUGAAGUGAGUAUAGUGUUUUCAGAUGUUGAGAGAGGUAUCUUGCAUGGGAGGAAAGCUCCCUUAUAUACAAAAGCUGAUUCCUAAACAAAACAAAAUAACUUUCCAAUAUUUACAACUUUUUAGAUAGUGACAACACAUUGUUUCUGAAAGCUGUCAGCACUGUUCUGAAAAUUGAUGAAAGCCACGUGAACCCAUAUUGUCUUGGUUGCUGCAAUGUUUGCCACCUUAGCUGUGCCAUGCAAAUUUUUUUCUGAAAGUGUCACCUUCAUUGCUGAGCAAUCUUGUAUGCAUGUGUGAAGGGCAUGAUUGGCAUUUUUGCUAAGUUUUGUCCUGAUGGUUAAAAAGAAAGUUUUUUAGGUGUUUUGGUUAGUUUUCCAUAAAAAAUAUUAUUUUUGGUUAGAGUAGAUUUCUUAUUCAAACAUCAUAAGAUUGCACAGCAGAUACGUUAAUAAGAUUUUCUGAACCCAAACAUAAAAAUUAAGAAAUAAGAACACUAUUAUGAAAAGAUACGUUGCUCGAGUACCUUCACGGGGCAAAAACAAGUUACAAAUAAUCUCAACAAACCUAAUACAUAAACAAUAAAGUUGCUUUGUUAGGAAUAGAUGCUAUUCAAGCAUCAUAAGACAGUGACGUAAAAUUGCCUCGUAUGAUGGAUGAGGAUCCUCUCCGGAUCCUCUUUAUGGGGAUCUUAGGGAUCUUUACAUCUUAAUUGUUCAUUGUAUAUCGUGUAGUCAGUUUUCAUCAAAUACUAUUUGUGUCUAAUUUUAAAUAAAAAAAGUCAAAUAAUUUCUAACCGCAUACGAUGAAUGGCUAAGAUGUGAAGAUCCCUAGGAUCCUCACAAUUUGAAACUAGAUGAGAUCCAAAUCCUCGUAUGAUACCCAAUAUCCACUUAUACUGUAGUUCAUUUGUACCUUUAAGUAUGAAUUCAUCUCCUCCCCCAUUAAUCAUGUUAUAUCAUGUAGACUAGAAAAAUCACAUCCGAUAAUGUUUCAGCAACCUCGGAUUAUUCGUUUGUACACGAGCCUUGAUGUCUUUGUUGAUUAAGCCAUUUUUGUCCGCUGGUAAUUUGCGUAUCCUCUACAUUACUCUUUCUGACUUAUCAAACAUGAAAGGGGAAAGAAAUGAAAAACUUAAAUACACGAACACUUGACACAUGCACACAUGAGAGAUAUGAUCCGGUUACAGAUUAAGCUAAAUAUUUGUGUUGAGCUGAUCGAUUAUACGUAUAUGGGAUGAAUGCAAGAAGCACUUGACAAAAAAGUCAGAAGUGGGGAUAGCUACUUAUCUAAGACCAUGAUGUAAGAACGUCAUAAAAAAUUUGGCUUUAUUAAUUAAUAUUUGACAUAUUGUUCCCUAAUCUCAUCAAGCAUAUACUAUCAGGAAUCCUUACCAUAAUGUCUCAUAUUUUAUGCUUCUUUUAGCCCUGAAAUGCACUGAACUGGGCUAAAUGCAUUGCAUGCUCUCACUAUCCCACUGUCACGCAUACGAGGUACCUCAAUAUUUUAGCUUUUCAUUUAAAUCACGUGGGGAUUUACAACUCUUUGUAUCCGGUCCUUAGUUUUUAGCUAGAGUUCUUUGACUGAAACCCGGUUGAAUUUCAAUUUCUGAUUCAUGUCUAUAAACUUUGUACGCAUCAACAUUUUACUAUUGAUGACAUAUUUCCAUGUCAAUUUUUAUUUUAUUUGCUAAAGUUUUUAAUUUUUAAAUCAUCUAUCAUAUCACGGUAAAGAACAAUUCGAGAGUAUUGUAACUGAAAUUUCGAAAUUUCAGUCGCCUAAUUCAAGCUUCUGUUAGUUUCAAAUUAAUAGUUUGUAGGCAAGAUAGACUUUAUGAACCAAAUAAAAUAAAUAGAAAACUUUAUUUUAAUCCUUAAAAAAUAUGAGUUUUAGACUAUAACCUUGUGUAAUAUUAAAAUCUAAUUUUAGUCCUUGAUCAUAUACAUUGUUUUUUAGUACGUCCCUGAUACAUUAAUCAUCUCAUUUAUUAAUUAUAUUUGAUGUUUUAUUUCCUUCUUCUUUCCCAUUUUUAAUAUAUUAAUUACAUUUCAUUCAUCAUAAUAUAUUUUGAUGUCUACAUUUAGCUAAACUAAUUGUUUUUUUUAUAUAAUAUACGAAUAUACAAUUUGUAUAAUCUUCAUUUGGGUACAUAAAUUCAUUUGAUAUAUUUAGGUAUAUCCAUUGAUACAAAUAUAUAGGUACAUUAAUUGAAUAUAAUAUAUUUCGGUACAUACAUUUCGGUACAUUAAUUCAAUAUAAUACAUUUCGGUACGUAGAUUUUGAUACAUACAUUUUGGUAUUGACAUUUAGGUACAUUAAUUCAAUAUAACACAUUUUGGUACAUACAUGCAUUUAGGCUCAUUAUAUAUAUGUCGGUACAAACAUUUUGGUACAGUCAUUUCUGAAUGUAUUUACAUAUUUAUGUGUCACUAAUUUCUUUUAAUAUUUUCUCAUUUAUGUUCAUAUAUAAUUGAAAGAAAUAAUAUGUGCAUAUUAAUAAAAUUAAAAUUUUAAAUGUGGAGGAAAUAAAAAAAAAUACACAUUAAAUAACAAAAGUAGAAUAUAUUUUGGGAUUUUUUAUUAAUACCUCAUAUUUUAUUGACUACACCCCACAUAAUAAUUUGAUAUUAAAUUGCUCAUAAAAUGACUAUUUAAGCCCUAAAAUGUUAUAAAAAUUAAAAAGAAGAUUCUAAAACAGAUGAAGAAAGUACAGAAGAGUAAGAGAGUAAGAGAGUUUAGAGAGUAGAGAGAGAAUCAAGAAAUGUAUUUCCUUUCUAGUUAGUUACAAAUGACUAUUACAACAUGUAUUUAUUUGUAUUGGUAGCUUACUCUCUAAGCCACACAAUAACCACCUUAACUAACUCUUAUAUCACAGCUAUAGAAUCUUAGUACUCCUAUCACUAAAUACACCCCAAGUUCUUUCUUUGAGUCAUGCCUAAAAUUUACCUCUACGCUCUCACAUAAGCAAUAUGACUAUUUUUCCAAAAAAGAAUGAACAGGUUUUCAGUAAAAGUUUGAAAACUCAAUGUGAAACUCUAUCACUUCAAUAUUAUAUACAUACAACUACAAGACUUAAACCCUUUUGCCCUCAAGUCAAUUUGGGUGAGGCUUGUGUCCUUUUGUCUUUACUUUAAUGAAAACUCAUUUCAACUAAAAGAAAGAUUGAAGAAUUAUAUAGGUUACUGAUAUAUGAAAAUUGAAAAGAAAACUGGAGGAAACAAGUUUGUGAAGACGAAUCCGCAGGUUUGAUGUGGGGUGUAUGUGAGGAGUUUAGAGUGUGAGGAUAGCUUGGGAAAGAAUGUAGGGUGUAUUAAGAUAUUUUUUUUUAAUUUAAAAUGUAGAUGUGGGGUGUUUUUAGUACGUGGGGAUUAAUCAACAAAAUAUGGGGUGCCAAUAAAACAACCCUAUAUUUUUUAAUAAAAGUACGCUUUAACUUUAAGGCAUUAAAAAUGAAUAUGUAAUCUAGUACCAUAUUUAAAAAAAAAAAUUCUAAUCUUUUGUAAGGACUAAUGUUCAAAACCCCUAAAAUAAAAUUGUAAAGUCUGUCUCAUAUCACGGUAAAAACUAAUUGGAGAGCAUUGUAACUAAUAGUUUGUACGCAAGACAGGUAAAAAAUAAUUGGAGAGCAUUGUAACUAAUAGUUUGUACGCAAGACAGACUUUAUGAACAAUAAAGUCAAAAUAUAAAAAAAAAUCUUCAAAGUCUACCCUUGAACAAGUCCUCAGUUCUUCCCUGCAAAAAAAAUUCUGAUAUUUAGGUUUGCCUUCAAAUUGAUCAAUGUUUAUGUUUACCUGCUAAGCUAGUUUGUAUCCAAAAUUGAAAUGUUGAUUUUGCUGUCAUCAUAUAUACAAACAAAAAAUAGUACCCAAUGCAAUAAGAUUGUACCCCAGGCUUGGCCUUUUAAGCCCCAUAAAGGAAAAUAAAAAAUAAAAAUAAAAAUAAAAUAAAAAAAACUUAUUCAAGCAUUUUUACAAACAUGUUCUAUGCAUAUUAGAAUUCAACAAUGUUUCAGUUACAGAUGAUUGGCAACUAAGGAAUGGAUUCUAUUUCUCUUCUUUUUAAUUAUAUUAUAUUGACAGCUAGGACAGUAUGGGAGAGAGGGAAUAUGAUAUUGACAGCUAGGACAGUAUGGAGAGAAGGAAUAUUGCUCGUGAAAAGGAAUGUUGUAUAUUCCUUGACAGAUAGACUACCACAUGGUACUACCACAUGGUUUGCUGCUUUUCUUUUUCUCUAGUUGCUGCAUCAUGACAGCAAGCACAACACCUGUAUUGCUUUUCUUUAUUGCAUGCGUGUAUGUAAAAUGUAUAUAAACAAUGCUGCCAUUGCAGCAGAAAAUAAGAUCGAAACAACAAAGUUGAAACCAAAACUUCAAUAUGGUAUCAGAGCAGGAACCAUAGGGUCCUGCCUCUGUUGAUUAUCCUUCUAGCUUGUUCUUCUUUCUCUGUUCAUCAUUUGUUGU
rnacentral:lncRNA from 1 species